rnacentral:lncRNA from 1 species
CUAAUGUCUCUUCUGUUCAUAGAAAGAACACUCUCUGCUGUUAUAUCCCACCUGUCAUCUUCUAAUAUGGAAAUUAGACUGGUUAGACUUUGGUCAGAAAUCUGUUGGUAUGGAAACCUUGUCAAUUAAAUAUUUACUAAGGUUUUAUUUUCUCCCAUAGGUGUUCUUGGAAGGAAGACUCAGAACUAGUGUUAGGAAAGCCACUGCAAGUACUUUCUUUGAAUGAACAGGACACAAUAUAGGAACUAUAUAUGGCAUCAUGUUUGUUUAUUGCAAGGGACACCAAUCCUAAUCAAGACUUCUGUAUCUGCCUUUAGGGAUGGAUCCCCACUGGUGCAGUAUAAGAUGACAACCAUUUUAUCUCAUCUAUCAUGUUGUUCUGCUUCUCAGGAUUCCAGCUAAAGCCAGUUUGUUGAUUUUUCAGCAGUCAAAAGAAGCAGUCUUGGAUGUUCACAUUUUCUGUUUAUGUUGUUGUUUGUUUAUUUGUUGUUUUGCUUUGCUUUGCUUUGUUUUCCAGUUCUCAUUGUUUUCAGCAUCAGGAUAAUUGAAAUCCCAUAUGAAUAGUGUUCCAGCCAUUUUUCUGUCUCUGCUUACCUGCAUAAAUAAUUCAUAGUCUGCUUCCUUGUUUUACCCUGGAGAUUUUACAGUUUAUGUUUGAAAUGCCUCUUCAAAGCCUGCCUAUUUUUUACUUCAGUCAAGUUUGCCUUUACAGUUUCCAAGAGAGUUUUGACACAUAACAAGGCUUUUAUUUUCCUUUUUAUAAUUUAAUUUAAAUAUGAUCUCACCUACAGUAUAUUUAUUUUCUGCCAAUAAAUAAAUAAAUACAUACA